AAAGAUCUAAACAGGAAACGGGACAGAGGAGCUUCGUUCACAAGGCCUCAUCACAGAACUGCAGUGUGAAAUGCACACGCUCAGUGUGACACUCACCAUGAUGACGGCGACAGCCAGGGCGGCCAGGCCAAUCAGGUGGAGCUUCUCCGAGAACAGGUCGCUCAGUUUCCGAUGGCAGUUCUGCAAGAAGCCGGAGAUGGAAUAAAGCUUGAAGACUGAGAAUGAUUCACCCUGAUCAGUCGAGCUGCAGAACGAACCAGGACCAGACUCAAUAGCGCACACACUCAAUAGAACGCAGGCGUUGGUCAAGCAUCUUCCACCCUGACUUACCGUUUUGUGGAAAACCUUCAACACGUUGACGCCGGCAUCUUUGCUGGGAGAACCGGAGACAUCCACGGCCUUGAUGUAUGCAGAGUCGUAGAAGUUAAUGAGUUCCUUGGAGAUCUGUGGACAGCAGAGAGAGGAGAGUUUCAGAGACACCAACAAGACUGAACUGACCAAUUGGAGCAAAGAUUGUAUGUGUGCUCUCUGACCGUGUCCCUGUUCAUAAAGCCCCAGAUUGCAGCAGCCACCUCACAGGCGAAGAGGAUCACCAGAAAGAAGAAGAACUAAACACAGAACCCAGUCAAUGCUGGAAUAUCAAAACAAAUUGACAAACUAACAAAAACAGCUGUGGAUGAUGCAAAGUCGAAAAGAGAGAGACUCACUGUGCCCAGCAGACACUGGGAUUCCUGAAUGGCGCCGUAACAUCCGAGGAAACCCACCAGCAUCAUCACAGCCCCAACAGCUAUGAGGAUGUACACACCUGUGGGCAGGUAGGAGAGGAAGCUGACAAGGAAGUACAGAUGGAGCCUGCACCGCCUCCUCGCGGCCACUAGGUGGCAGCAGCGUCAGCGCUCCGUCUGAGUCACGCAGCUCAUCGAUCCAUAUAUUGUGUGUUAAUGGACUUCCUGCAUGUUUCUCCUCCCUGUGCGACGACACGCUAUUAUUGACAUCCUGAAGAUUAACGGCUCCCAGGUCAAAGGAGAGAGGUGGAGCUGAUUGUGUUUAGCUGUCAGAGCAGGAAAUGCCUGUCGGACGCCCUCAGCCCCUCUGACCUGUCCAGCAUUAUCCUUCCCCAGGAAACAGUGGGAACUAUGUAAAUACUCAGACACCCACAUACUUAUAUACACACAGACCUGUUUGAUUAAAAACUGUCUAAAGCAACAUAAUCAUUCAAAGUAUAAG